rnacentral:rRNA from 1 species
AUGGAGGCGACGGCGCUAAGUGUUGGCAAGUCCGUCCUCAGCGGGGCGCUCAGCUAUGCCAAAUCUGCCGUGGCUGAGGAGGUGGCUCUGCAGCUUGGAGUACAGAGCGACCACAUAUUCAUCACCGACGAGCUCGAGAUGAUGCGGUCAUUCCUCAUGGCUGCGCAUGACGAGGGAGAUGACAAUAUGGUGGUCAGGACUUGGGUGAAACAGGUCCGUGACGUCUCCUACACUGUGGAAGAUUAUCUCCUUGAUUUUUCUGUUCGUCUUGAGAAGCAGUCUUGGUGGCGCAUCCCUUGCACGCUGCUAGACCAGCACCGUGUGGCAAAGCAGAUGAAGGAGCUCAGAAUCAAGGUGGAGGAUGUCAGCCAGAGGAACCAACGGUACCACCUCAUCAAGGGCUCUAGCUCCAAGCCUACCUCUGCUGUUGGGAAGCCUACCAUCUCAAGUGUGACAAUGUCUGCCGCCGAUGAUGCAAGGCUACUGCGGCAAAAAGCAAAAAUGGAUCUCAUCAAGUUGAUCAAUUGCAAGGAUGAUGCACUUCGAGUGAUAGCAUUGUGGGGCACAAGUAGCAGUGAUCUGGGGGAGAUUUCCAUCAUCAAGUGUGCCUAUGAAGAUCUCAUCAUACACAAGAAUUUUAAUUGCUGUGCUUGGAUCACAUUGAUGUGCCCUUUCAAUCAGUCAGAUUUCAUUCGAAGCAUUAUUAGGCAAAUUUAUGUUAAUUCUCUUCAAGAAACAGGAAAAGAAGGAAAAUCAGCUAUUGGGGCCCAAGUUUUGAGGAUGAUGCCAACGAUGAAAGAAGAUGGUUUGGCUCAUGAGUUCAAGAGAUAUUUAAAUUUCAAGAGUUACCUAAUUGUACUCAAUGGCAUACGCACCAUUGAGGAGAGCAGAGCAGAGGAUGAAGCUCUAGUGUGCAAGAAGUUACUUGCUGAUCCGUCUCUUUAUGUUUUCUACAGUAAGGUUUCUCAUGAGAGAUGGAGUUCCGUGGAAAUAGUCUCUACUGGCGUUGACAGCUCUACAGACAAGAACAUCCUCAGCCGCACGGAAACAAUGGCUACUCUAGAGGAAUCUCGUCUCAUUGGGAGAGGGAAUGAAAAAGAGGAAAUCAUCAAACUAAUCUCAAAUAAAUAUCUCCCGCAAUUUCAUGUGAUAUCCUUGUGGGGAAAGGGUGGUAUCGGAAAAACAACACUAGUGAGAGAUAUUUAUCAAAGCCAAGAGAUUAGCAGCAUGUUUGAUAAGCAUGCUUGUUUCACAAUCAUGCGCCCUUUCAACUCAGCACCACUCCUUGAGAGCUUAAUUAUGCAAAUCAAAGAUAAGAAUGAAGAUAAAAAUGAGAAAGAUUUAAGGAGAUGUUUAGAAGGAAAGAGAUAUUUACUUGUUCUUGAUGAUUUCUGGUCCAGAGUAGAGUGGGAUGCUAUAAAAGAGUAUUUGCCAGAAACUGCUGGAAGCUGCAUAAUAGUCACCAUAAGGGAAGAGAAUAUUGCCAAGCACUGCUCAAAGAAUGAACGAGACAUAUACAUGCUCAAACAUCUGGGUCCUGAUGACGCAUUUGCCCUCUUCACCAAAAAGGUAUUUAAGGAGGCCGUAAGUUUGGAUGAGCGAUAUCCAGAGUUGGUUGAACCAACAAAACUAAUAUUGAAGAAGUGGAGAGGGCUUCCCCUUGCACUAGUCACCAUAGGUGGCUUCUUGGCAAACCAACCAAAAACUGCUUUUGAAUGGAGAAAAUUGAAUGAUCAUAUCAGUGCUGAGUUGGAGAUGAAUCCAGAACUUGAGACCAUAAAACCAAUCCUUAUGAAAAGCUAUGAUGGUUUACCCUAUUACCUCAAGGCUUGUUUCUUGUAUCUAGCCAUCUUUCCUGAAGACCAGCAGAUUGCACGGAGACGCUUAGUGCGUCGUUGGAUUGCAGAGGGUUACUCAAGUGAGAUGUGUGGCAAGUCUGUAGAGGAAGUAUUGGACUCUUACUUCAUGGAACUCAUAAGCAGGAGCAUGAUCCUGCCAUCUCAACAGUCAAUUCAUAGUAGGAAAGGAAUUGACUCCUGUCAUGUCCAUGAUCUCAUUCGUGAAAUUGCCACCUCAAAGUCUAAGGAGGAAAAUCUUGUUUUCACAUUGGAGGAAGGGUGCAGCUUAAAUAACCAAGGCACAGUACGUCAUCUUGCUAGCCUCAAGUGGAUCCAGGGCCUCAAAAAUCUCGUGAAGCUGAAACUAGAGGGGUCGAGGAUAUCGGAGCAUGAUGCGGCCAUACAAGUCCUUGGGAAUCUACCAAACCUGGCCACCCUACGUCUAUUGGAUUACUCGUUUGAUGGUGAAGAGGUUUGUUUCAGUUUUCGUCGGGAGGCAUUCCCGAGCCUGAAUGUGCUGGAGCUGUAUUGCAUAGGAAACCUCAAGUCGGUGGGAUUUGAAGGAGCAGCCCCUAAGCUUGAGUUGCUGCAGUAUUUAGAUUGGGGCAACAUUGUUGGGUUGUUCUGUGGGUUAGCAUAUCUCCCAAGCCUCAAGGAAUUUAUGCUGCAUGAGUCGAACUGGCAGGCCACCGAGUUGGUGGAGCACUUGCGAGGCCAGCUCGAAGAGAAUAUAAACAAGCCCGUUUUGAGGAGGUGGGGGGACUAG